AUCUUUUUCCCGUUUCAUGCCUUUAAAGCUUCAACCACAAGCCUAGAUCAACUUGACCUCAUCCUCCAGCUCCUCCCAGCUUCCUUCCCCAUCGAAAACAACCCUACUAAUUUAUUGGGAUAAAUACAUACAUACAUACAUAUAUAUAUAUAUAUAUAUAUAUAUAAUAUCAUAUAUAGCCAUGCACCUAAAUUGCCUUACAUGCAAGUACAAGGAGAGUAAUACAUCGGAGUCUGAGAUAGAAUUUGACCGAGAAAAAUCUAGAGGGGAAUGUUGUUGUGUAAAGGUGGAGAUCAAGUUCUUGUCAGGGAACAUUCAUCCAUUAUCCUACGAGAAUAUGAGAAGUGGAUUUGUAAAGCUGGGAGAGAAGAAGGUAAGACUGGGUCAUCGUCGGAACUAUAGUGAAGGAGUUGUUGGAUUUGGAGGUGGCGUAGAGCCCCGGUUGGUGAGGAGCUGUGGGAUGAGAAGGGAUUGGAGCUUGGAGGAUUUGGCACAUGGGGGAGAGAAGAAAGGGAGAAAAUAUUGAUACAUGCAUGCACGAUGCACUGGUUGAAGUCGAAUCUAGGGGUGGAUGGGAUCAUCAAUGUGGUUAUGAAAAUGAUGUUUCAUUUAGGUCCUGUUACUCCAAAAUAUUCUCGGCUAUAAUUAGUCGUAUUCGAUCCUUUCUAGAUGCAUGGCUAUUUAUAUUUUAGUUGGAAAAUCUUGCGUAGUGUCUUAUGCAAGAAGUGGUCAAGAAUUUUCGCGCCUUCAUCCCAGAAAAUGAAAGAAUUAAAGAAAGUGGCAAGAAUCACCGUUUGAGAUAUGAUCACCAUGUCAAUGUUUAUGUAGGAUGUCAUGUUGUUGUGGGAAAAGCAGUAUUUAUGUAUCCAGGUAACCAUAGAAAUGGUUUCAUGGCUAUAAUGAUGCUCUUCCAUUAGUAUUCUUCGUGCUUAACUGUUACUAUGCUCAGCUGUAAUGUAAUGGUUUGGUUUGACUA